GUUCCCUCCACCAAGGCAGUACCUCUUCGCACGAUUGGAAAAGGAAGAGGUAAAGGAGAAACGAGGCAACCGAUGAAAGAUGAUAAGGUUGAAGCAAUCUCAGUCCAGGAAAAAGCUUCUAGUAUGUCGGACAUCUUUAGAACCUUCUCCACGAGAUAUGUUCGACUGAAUGGCAUUCUUUUCACUCGCACUAGCUUGGAAACAUUUGGAGAAGUGCAGUUGGUGGUUAAGAAUGAUCUGCUCAAGCUUCU
rnacentral:misc_RNA from 1 species